CUCUUGGCCGUCGGGACUUGUACUGUUGGUGACUCCGUCUCCUUAGACGGUGGAGCCUGCGUGACCCAGAAAGGCCUUUUUGUAGGGAGGUCGAAAUAGAAACACUUCAGCCCCUCUUCGGCGAGGGAGGUUAGUUGGUAAGGUGCCCAUUGUUCACCCAUGGAAACAGGCCUGCCAAGGGCCGCCCCGCAGACAGUGCUUGCUCUCUUCCGUUCUAGCACUUGCCUCGGUGACCUGGCAGGACGUGCGGUUCUUGAGAUGAGUGGAGAAACGGACUCCCAGGUCCCUCUCGUUCUUCCAACACAGGGACAGCUAGAGCUGCUCCAAAAAUAUACCCUACUUCUUCCACAA
rnacentral:lncRNA from 1 species